CGUGCGAUCAUACCAGCACUAC
rnacentral:rRNA from 1 species